rnacentral:tRNA from 1 species
GUACUACUAGUAUGUACUAGCAGUACAUACUACUAGUAUUAGUAUUAAUCAUAGUAGUUCUAGUAUUAGUACUAAUUCUAUUAGUAGUACA